AAAGAGGAGUGGCGAACGGGUGAGUAACACGUGGGUAACCUGCCCAUCAGAAGGGGAUAACACUUGGAAACAGGUGCUAAUACCGUAUAACAAUCAAAACCGCAUGGUUUUGAUUUGAAAGGCGCUUUCGGGUGUCGCUGAUGGAUGGACCCGCGGUGCAUUAGCUAGUUGGUGAGGUAACGGCUCACCAAGGCCACGAUGCAUAGCCGACCUGAGAGGGUGAUCGGCCACAUUGGGACUGAGACACGGCCCAAACUCCUACGGGAGGCAGCAGUAGGGAAUCUUCGGCAAUGGACGAAAGUCUGACCGAGCAACGCCGCGUGAGUGAAGAAGGUUUUCGGAUCGUAAAACUCUGUUGUUAGAGAAGAACAAGGAUGAGAGUAACUGUUCAUCCCUUGACGGUAUCUAACCAGAAAGCCACGGCUAACUACGUGCCAGCAGCCGCGGUAAUACGUAGGUGGCAAGCGUUGUCCGGAUUUAUUGGGCGUAAAGCGAGCGCAGGCGGUUUCUUAAGUCUGAUGUGAAAGCCCCCGGCUCAACCGGGGAGGGUCAUUGGAAACUGGGAGACUUGAGUGCAGAAGAGGAGAGUGGAAUUCCAUGUGUAGCGGUGAAAUGCGUAGAUAUAUGGAGGAACACCAGUGGCGAAGGCGGCUCUCUGGUCUGUAACUGACGCUGAGGCUCGAA
rnacentral:rRNA from 1 species